rnacentral:rRNA from 1 species
CGCGGCCUAUCAGCUUGUUGGUGAGGUAAUGGCUUACCAAGGCGACGACGGGUAGCCGGCCUGAGAGGGCGACCGGCCACACUGGGACUGAGACACGGCCCAGACUCCUACGGGAGGCAGCAGUGGGGAAUAUUGCACAAUGGGCGAAAGCCUGAUGCAGCGACGCCGCGUGAGGGAUGACGGCCUUCGGGUUGUAAACCUCUUUCAGCAGGGAAGAAGCGAAAGUGACGGUACCUGCAGAAGAAGCGCCGGCUAACUACGUGCCAGCAGCCGCGGUAAUACGUAGGGCGCAAGCGUUGUCCGGAAUUAUUGGGCGUAAAGAGCUCGUAGGCGGUCUGUCGCGUCGGAUGUGAAAGCCCGGGGCUUAACCCCGGGUCUGCAUUCGAUACGGGCAGACUAGAGUGUGGUAGGGGAGAUCGGAAUUCCUGGUGUAGCGGUGAAAUGCGCAGAUAUCAGGAGGAACACCGGUGGCGAAGGCGGAUCUCUGGGCCAUUACUGACGCUGAGGAGCGAAAGCGUGGGGAGCGAACAGGAUUAGAUACCCUGGUAGUCCACGCCGUAAACGGUGGGAACUAGGUGUUGGCGACAUUCCACGUCGUCGGUGCCGCAGCUAACGCAUUAAGUUCCCCGCCUGGGGAGUACGG